UACGUAGGGUGCAAGCGUUAAUCGGAAUUACUGGGCGUAAAGCGUGCGCAGGCGGUUGUGUAAGUCAGAUGUGAAAUCCCCGGGCUCAACCUGGGAAUUGCAUUUGAGACUGCACGGCUAGAGUGUGUCAGAGGGGGGUAGAAUUCCACGUGUAGCAGUGAAAUGCGUAGAGAUGUGGAGGAAUACCGAUGGCGAAGGCAGCCCCCUGGGAUAACACUGACGCUGAAGCACGAAAGCAUGGGGAGCAAACAGG
rnacentral:rRNA from 1 species